GUGACCUUAUACACUAUAGCUUCAUGAGUUUAUUUUGAACCAUUGGUUUGAUUAUUUUUCUUUACAGUAGGCCGAUGUGGUGGAGAAGACCAAAAUCAACAGAUGUUUGUUUGAUGAAAACUUAGCAAAUGUACACGGAGGAAACCAGAGAAAGAAGCAGGCGACUACAUAUUUACCUGCAAGUUCUGUUCUAUGGCUUGGUCAGAGGGUGAGUUGUCCAUUCGUGAUUUGUAUGGCGAUCCUUACAACCAACCCAUUAACAAUCAGGUACAUCGUGUUAGUUCAAUACGUUCCGCGGAUUCUUCGUAUGUAACCUUUAAGUUCAGUGCUGAAAAUAACAACAUGAGUAUUCGCGGGAACUGCUUGGGCUGGUGCAGCUUACUAAUUGCUACUUUACAUGCUUGCAAGUCAUGUAAGUAACCAUUCCAACCGCUUCUAUUGUUUCCUUUCAAGUGAUAAUGUUUUCAUAGGAGUUUUUUUUGUAAACGCCAAUUGUUGGAGCGUUGUGGUAUUUGCUUGCUAGGAGCGCAAUAACGAUUGCUCAAGUAAGGCUCUUAUGAUGAUGGAAGUUCUUAACUCUCUAGGGCUAGAUGACCUGUGUACAGACGUGAUGUUGAUGAUUCUCGUCAUAUACACAGAGUAUGCUUUUGUACUCAUUGUCCCCUAAAUUGACCAUGCUUUUCGAAUUUUCCCAUGGUUUUCAUACAACUGCAUCAUCACUAUCAUAACUAAUGAAAACCAUACCGUGCUACCAUGGUGCUUAAUCUAACUCAGCAUUG